GUUACGCUAAUACCGCAUAUUCUGUGAGCAGGAAAGCAGGGGGAUCGCAAGACCUUGCGCUCUGGGAGCGGCCGAUGUCGGAUUAGCUAGUUGGUGGGUAAAGGCCUACCAAGGCGACGAUCCGUAGCGGGUCUGAGAGGAUGAUCCGCCACACUGGGACUGAGACACGGCCCAGACUCCUACGGGAGGCAGCAGUGGGGAAUUUUGGACAAUGGGCGGAAGCCUGAUCCAGCCAUGCCGCGUGAGUGAAGAAGGCCUUCGGGUUGUAAAGCUCUUUUCGGCCGGGAAGAAAUCGCAUGGGUCAAUACCCUGUGUGGAUGACGGUACCGGAAUAAGAAGCACCGGCUAACUACGUGCCAGCAGCCGCGGUAAUACGUAGGGUGCGAGCGUUAAUCGGAAUUACUGGGCGUAAAGCGUGCGCAGG
rnacentral:rRNA from 1 species